AACAGCCACACAAGUGGUAAACUCAGAGGUUACAAUAGCUUCAGUGCAAAACAAGGAUGAAUGGAAGGCUGUGCUGCAUUGUGUGACAUAAAAGAGAAGGACAAUCCAGCAAAGUCUGCUGUUCUUACAGUUCUUGUUCUACACUGUGAGGCCAUGGUGGAAGAGGAGAUUAGAAGCCAGGUCAAAGCAGUAUCUCGAACAGUUUUGGCAGUUUUGUCCAAAUGCCAUGGUCCUGUUCUGCUUUCGUAAUCCUUUGCACGGAGGAUUACAACUUGCUAGAAUCCACCUCCUGGUGUCAUGGAGUCCCUCCAUCUGCUUUACAUCACAAGGCCAGAUCGUUAGUUCUUAUGGACCUUCUCAUUGAAUGGGAUCUCCCACUUCGGGGUGGCCUAUAUUUCUUAGAAACAUUAUAUUUGACUGCUGAAGACCCAGGCUGCAGGCCAAAUGAACAAGACGACCAAAGAAGGAUUGGGAAUUUCAAAUAGUCAGAGGACCAGGCUUGGCUCUUAGACUGAGUUACUUUGAUUGCAU
rnacentral:lncRNA from 1 species